rnacentral:rRNA from 1 species
GACGAACGCUGGCGGCGUGCUUAACACAUGCCAGUCGAACGGAAAGGCCCUGCUUUUGUGGGGUGCUCGAGUGGCGAACGGGUGAGUAACACGUGAGUAACCUGCCCUUGACUUUGGGAUAACUUCAGGAAACUGGGGCUAAUACCGGAUAGGAGCUCCUGCUGCAUGGUGGGGGUUGGAAAGUUUCGGCGGUUGGGGAUGGACUCGCGGCUUAUCGGCUUGUUGGUGGGGUAGUGGCUUACCAAGGCUUUGACGGGUAGCCGGCCUGGGAGGGUGACCGGCCACAUUGGGACUGUGAUACGGCCCAGACUCCUACGGGAGGCAGCAGUGGGGAAUAUUGCACAAUGGGCGGAAGCCUGAUGCAGCAACGCCGCGUGCGGGAUGACGGCCUUCGGGUUGUAAACCGCUUUCGCCUGUGACGAAGCGUGAGUGACGGUAAUGGGUAAAGAAGCACCGGCUAACUACGUG